rnacentral:rRNA from 1 species
UACAGAGGGGGCAAGCGUUGUUCGGAAUUACUGGGCGUAAAGGGCGCGUAGGCGGCCUGCUAAGUCGAACGUGAAAUCCCCGAGCUCAACUCGGGAACUGCGUCCGAUACUGGCAGGCUUGAAUCCGGGAGAGGGAUGCGGAAUUCCAGGUGUAGCGGUGAAAUGCGCAGAUAUCGGGAGGAACACCGGUGGCGAAGGCGGUUCUCUGGGCCUUACCUGACGCUGAGGAGCGAAAGCGUGGGGAGCGAACAGG